AAUAUUUCUAUAUCGUCACUACUUAUCACUUAAAACUCAUCUAAUUCGGCGAACUUCCUCUAUUUAUACUGUCGACUAGUGACAGAGAGAGGACGAUGAGAAUUUAUGAAGAAGAGAAUAUGGACAGAUAAAAAUAGUGAGACAAAAAAGCAGAGAACAAAGAGAUUUACUUGGCGAUCAUCGAUGCUCAGAAUGGUAUUUUAAGAUCUAAACGGUGAAGGUUAAAGAUAAGAAGAAUCACAAUCGAUUUCAUCUAAGGACAUAGGAGAGAGGUUGAUAAGAGUGUUUUCGAAUGAUACUGCAAGUUUAGGUGAUUCCGAUGGCAGUGAUUAGUGGUAAACUAUUGCCUUCAUCGUCGGAGUGAUCGGAGUGGGUUCUUUCAAUCUCCACCUCAUUCGGCGACGUGCACUUGAAUAUGCUACUAGUCACUUUGUUAUGUCGGAGCGAGUGAUGUGAAGGCGAUGGAGUUGGGACUGAAAGGAAAAUGGUCGUUCGGGCACAUAGAUAUGGCUGUCGGAUAAUAGAUAUGGCUCUGGAAGAUCCGUUCAUGUCAAGAGACUGAUUGACCGAAGGAUAUAGAACUCUGGAGAUUUUGAACCGCAGAUUAGUUCAUCCGAAGAUUUCAACAGCCAGAAGAAAAACAACGGAAGUGCGGCUUGCGGAGGAAUCCGGAGAAGGAGCAUUCUAUUGCUACUCUCAACAAUGCCAUCGGGAGAGCUCUCGAUUGGUAUGAACUUCACAAAUUCUGGAUUUGUUUCUUUUAGUUUCAUAUUUUCCCCCAACCAAUGUGUUUUACAUUUAUGGACUUCUAAGAUGAACUUAUUUGUUCAUAGAUGUGAAAAACCAUCAU